rnacentral:lncRNA from 1 species
GUUCUGCUCCAGAUACUGUGCAAAAUGUUAUGGUAUAAUUUUUCCUUAAUAAUUUCGACGUGGCCUGAGUUAGCGAACAACGCAGUACACCAGAAAAACUACUUGGUCCAAAGUCAGAAAACUAUGAAAUCAUAAAUCGAUUCCAAGUCUACUAUUCCUUGUUGGCAUCAGCAGAAAGCACAGCAUUUGGUCUGAGAAAGAGCAUUCUGAACAAGUAAAAUUAAAACAGUAGAAUUUUUCAGACUGUUUCCUAUAUGUCAGUGAA